AUUCUUUCAAUUCUAAAGAUGGAGACUGGCGAACGGCGAUGGGGUCUGCGGUGGGCGGUGUUUCGUCGCGACAGACUCUAGGAAAUUUCACGAUAGAACUAGCUUUAGGCGCUUGAGCCUUGCCGUCUUUUUGGGGUGUGGCCUGUCUCCGUCUGCCAAAGGCUUUGAGCUUCCUGGUGUUCAUCGUACCUCCGCUUGGUCCUGUCGUGACUAAACCACGACAGCAGGAAAAAAAAAAAAGCAGCUAGCCAAGUUGCUGAGGAAUUACGGUGUGCAGAGCCCUCGCAGCUCCUUCUCUUGGGAACUCCUGGUCUGGUUAGGUUCUCAGCGAGGAAACAGCCUCCCACCCCGCCCGAUUCCACCUAAUUAACUCAAGGGCCAGCUCCUUUUGCUGGCCUCCCUGCUUCCACGGAGCAGUUAGGCCCGCCUAAACUCAGCGAGCGUUUCUGGAGCACCUUGAGGAUAGGGACCAAGUAACAGAGUCCGGGUGUUAAGGUUAUGAUAGUAGUUAACGUUUUUGGAAAGAGACUGUGUCAGGCUCUGUGCUAAGAACUUUACAUGAAGUAUUUAUUCCUCAUGACUGUGAGGUAGGUACUGUUAUCCCUACUUUACAAAUGAGGAAAAUUAGGAUCAAAAAAUUUGUCCAGUUACACGUUAAGUGGUAGAGCUGAAAUUUGAACCCAAGUAGAUGAGGAAACUAAGGCUCAGAGAGGUUAAGUAACUUGCCAAAGGUCAGACCGCUAGUUAGUGACUAAGCAGUGGUUUAAACCCAGAAACAACUGGUUCCACAGGCAUUUUGUUAUUGUUGUUUUCUCACUGUGUCUCCCAGGCUGGAGUGCAGUGGUACAAUCUCAGUUCCUGCAACCUCCGCCUCCCAGGUUCAAACGAUCCUCCUGCCUCAACAGCCUCCCGAGUAGCUGGGAUUACAGGCGCGCGGCUAAUUUUUGUGUUUUUAGUAGAGACGGGGUUUCGCCAUGUUGGCCAGGCUGGUCUCGAACUCCUGACCUCAGGUGAUCCUCCUGCCUCAGCCUCCCAAAGUGCUGGGAUUACAGGUGUGUGAGCCACCACGCCAGCCUCCACAGGUAUUUGAACAUGUUUUUUAAAUUAUUUAAAAGUCAUGCUGUGCAAUGGAAAUGAAAUUAUAAUGGAGGACAUGGCAACUUAAAGCCGUAGGUAGAUCCUACACAAACACAGACGCACCCAUUUUUUUUUUCUUUUUUUUCUUUGAGACAGUCUCCCUCUGUCGCCCAGGCUGGAGUGCAGUGGCGUGAUCUCAGCUGCCUGCAAUCUCCACCACCCAGGCUCAAGCCAUCUUUCCACCUCAGCCUCCCAAGUAGCUGGCAUUACAGGCGCACGUGACCACGCCCGGCUGAUUUUUGUAUUUUUGGUAAAGACAGGGUUUCACUAUGUUUCCCAGGCUGGUCUCAUAAAUUCCUGGCCUCAAGUGAUCCACCCGCCUUGGCGUCCCAAAGUGGUGGGAUUACAGGCGUGAACAACCGCGCCCACCGCAGCCCCCACUUUAUUUAUUUUUUAAAUUAGCGAUGAGGUCUUGCUAUGUUACCCAGGCUGCUCUGAAACUCCUGGGCUCAAGAGAUCCUCCCGGCCGGGCGCGGUGGCUCAGGCCUGUAAUCCCAGCACUUCGGGAGGCCGAGGCAGGUAGAUCACGAGGUCAGGAGAUCGAGACCAUCCUGGCUAACACAGUGAAACCCCGUCUCUACUAAAAAUACAAAAAAGUAGCCGGUCG
rnacentral:lncRNA from 10 species